GACGUAGGGGGCAAGCGUUAUUCGGAAUUAUUGGGCGUAAAGCGCUCGUAGGCGGGACUGGAAGUCCGUGUUGAAAGACCUCGGCUCAACUGAGGGACCGGCUCGGAUACUCUAGUUCUUGAGGCAAUCAGAGGGUGAUGGAAUUCCCGGUGUAGCGGUGAAAUGCGUAGAUAUCAGGAAGAACACCCGUGGCGAAGGCGGCUCUCUGGAACGCAACUGACGCUGAGACGCGAAAAGCGUGGGGAGCAAACAGG
rnacentral:rRNA from 1 species